GCCAUCAGGUCUUGUACAUGUUGCCGUUUUCAAAUCGAUUCUAUCUUGAAUACUUUUUGAGAAAAAUGUAAAAGAAAGAAAUUGCUUCAAGGGGACAUAAUUCUCAUAGGGAAUGACGAAAUCCUUAGCAGCCUCACAUGGUAACACAUCAUGAUGAGAUCUAACUAUUGUCCAAAUAAGGUCAUGAUAUCUUCAAAAACAACGAGGGGGG
rnacentral:lncRNA from 1 species